GACGAACGCUGGCGGCGUGCCUAAUACAUGCAAGUUGAGCGCUGAAGGUUGGUACUUGUACCAACUGGAUGAGCAGCGAACGGGUGAGUAACGCGUGGGGAAUCUGCCUUUGAGCGGGGGACAACAUUUGGAAACGAAUGCUAAUACCGCAUAAAAACUUUAAACACAAGUUUUAAGUUUGAAAGAUGCAAUUGCAUCACUCAAAGAUGAUCCCGCGUUGUAUUAGCUAGUUGGUGAGGUAAAGGCUCACCAAGGCGAUGAUACAUAGCCGACCUGAGAGGGUGGUCGGCCACAUUGGGACUGGGACACGGCCCAAACUCCUACGGGAGGCAGCAGUAGGGAAUCUUCGGCAAUGGACGAAAGUCUGACCGAGCAACGCCGCGGGAGUGAAGAAGGUUUUCGGAUCGUAAAACUCUGUUGGUAGAGAAGAACGGUGGUGAGAGUGGAAAGCUCAUCAAGUGACGGUAACUACCCAGAAAGGGACGGCUAACUACGUG
rnacentral:rRNA from 1 species